CGUGUAGGCGGAUUGAUAAGUUUGAAGUGAAAUCCUAUAGCUUAACUAUAGAACUGCUUUGAAAACUGUUAAUCUAGAAUGUGGGAGAGGUAGAUGGAAUUUCUGGUGUAGGGGUAAAAUCCGUAGAGAUCAGAGGGAAUACCGAUUGCGAAGGCGAUCUACUGGAACAAUAUUGACGCUGAGACGCGAAAGCGUGGGGAGCAAACA
rnacentral:rRNA from 1 species